rnacentral:rRNA from 1 species
UACGUAGGGUGCAAGCGUUAUCCGGAAUCACUGGGCGUAAAGCGUGCGUAGGUGGCGCGUUAAGUGAGAUGUUAAAUCGUGUGGCUCAACCAUAUCGAUGCAUCUCAUACUGGCGUGCUAGAGGACGGCAGAGGCAAGUGGAAUUGGUAGUGUAGGAGUGAAAUGCGUAGAUAUUACCAGGAACACCAAUGGCGAAGGCAGCUUGCUGGGCCACUCCUGACACUGAGGUACGAAAGCGUGGGGAGCGAACAGG